rnacentral:lncRNA from 1 species
CUUGCUUGAUGAUGAGUGAGUUUCAUACCUACGAACCGGAUACUUAUUUGGACAUAAAUAAUGUUAGUUCUGUUUAUUUUUGUACAGUUUGACUUGUUUUUGUUUUGUUUUGUGUGUAGGUUGCUUUACGAGUUAGUUGUAGUACAUUGGUGGCGUUGCGGUGGAAAAUAACAUUCAAAAGCUAAAAAAUCAAUUUCAGCAGUCUAUACCUCCGUCGGGGCAGACCCA